rnacentral:rRNA from 1 species
UACGAAGGGGGCUAGCGUUGUUCGGAAUCACUGGGCGUAAAGCGCACGUAGGCGGAUCUUUUAAGUCAGGGGUGAAAUCCCGAGGCUCAACCUCGGAACUGCCUUUGAUACUGGGGAUCUCGAGUCCGGGAGAGGUGAGUGGAACUGCGAGUGUAGAGGUGAAAUUCGUAGAUAUUCGCAAGAACACCAGUGGCGAAGGCGGACUCACUGGCCCGGAACUGACGCUGAGGUGCGAAAGCGUGGGGAGCAA